AGGCGCUUCUCUGAAGGAUGGAAAAAUCGAUGCCCACAGAAGAGCGGGUGCAGGGCAGUGUGCUCCUGUGCCGUGAUGGGGCGCAGUUUCACCGUAUCUGAUGGCUGCGCCAGGGGUCAUCUCGUCCGAUGGUCGAGGCCCUGCACGGGGCCUGGGGUCAGAAUCUUGGUCCAUUGGCUCUGUGACCUCAGGUCCAUUGUCCAAUUCCCUUUUGGGUAUUAGUGAUGAAAGAAAACAUUUGCCAACUUAAGCAGUCUUUCAGCUAAACUAUUUUUCAAGCCUAAAAUCAAGACAGUUCAAAGACUGAGAAACUACCACUCACAGAGCUUUGCUGAAAGAACCAAUGAAAGAUUGCCUAAAGAAGAAGGAAACCAAGCCCUAUAUCAGGGUAAUAUUCAGCCUGGAACGACGGGAAUCCUGAGAAGACAAGGAUUCUGGCCUCACUCCAGAGUCGUCGUGCAGGGCUGUGGGCUAGACCGAGUGGGCCACGGGGCUCGGGUGGCCCCUCCUCAAGUGCCUAGCACAUGCCUGACACACCCAGUGUCCCCCUGCCCCCCACAGCUCCCGGGAACAGGACCACCACCAUGGGGGCUGGUAUAAUGAGUGCCACUUUGCAGCCAAGGGAACUAGUGGCUCUUGGAGGGCAUGCCCUCCAACUGGAGUGUCCUCAACCACCUUUUCCACUCAGGAAGAUCCUUCUAGACUCAGCUUCUAAGAGGCCUCCACUACGAGGACUUUUCUAAUAGCCCCCAAGGUGGCUGCAUUGUCCAAGCCUGGGAUCUGCCUGGGCUCACACUUGCCAGCUGGAUGAACUUGGAUGGAUACCUGCCUCUAUGGGCCCCAGCUUCUCACAUGCGAAAUGGGGACAGUAUUGCUAACAAGUGCAUGAGGCUGUUGCACAGACAAACAGGAACGGGGUAGAGCAGACAGUGCAUGCUGAAUAAACUGGCUGUCAUUAUUAUCUGCCCCAUGCCUCCAGCAGAGUGGGUCCCCCUUUGCCCUGCAGCUCACUGCCUGCUGCACCCAAGCACAGCCUUGUGAAGUUACUGCUGCCCAAGAGAGGUUUGGUGGAGGAUGAAAGACUCAGAAUCCUCGACUAAUUCUACUUGGAAGGAUCCUCAGAAAAUAGGGAACACAGCCCCCUUAUUUUGACCAAAGGCCAGAGAGCUAGAGGGCCUUGCCCGAGGUCACACAACUCACUGUGGAACUAGAUCCCAGGCUUCAGCUCCCUACCCUGUGCCUUGUCUGCAACCCCAGAAGGCCCAGAGGAAACCCCAAACCAACAUUAGAGAAAAGGCGGUGGGAUGUAUUUGAAUGGCUCAGGCUGCAAGUGACCAGCAUGGAGGGUCAGCACCACUGGCAGGUGCUGCUGAGCUCACCCAUUGUACAGAUGGGAGACCUGAGGUUGGUGAGGUGCAUGGGGCCUGGGCCCCAGAGACUGCUCAAAGCCCAGCCGUUCCUCCUGGUAGCUAGAGAAUCUUGGGUGGUUUACGUCUCCCAGCCCCACUGUCUUCAUCUGCAAAAUAGGAGUGAGAACACUUCCACCAGGGACAAGCUCAAGCAUGGAGAACCCUGGACCACAAUGUGCACGUAGACCCACUCCCCUCCUUCAACACCUGACAACCACUCACCAGCAUACUUCCACCCGUCCUUUUGUUGCAGGGAGUGGGAGUGUGUGUCAAGAGACCCUUCCAGCUGGUGACCCUGAGGACGCUGCCUGAGGAUUCCUCCAUUAUUAACGAACAUGCUUCCCUCUCCCCAGCUCUCUGGAGCUUACAUGUCAGGCUCAGAAAUAGCUUAAGGGGAGGGCCUGGCAUCCAACUUUGGGUCUAGGCAACUGUGCCAUCCAGCUGGCUUCUCUGGGACUCAGUUUCCCCACACCUGGAGGAGAGGAGACACAAAGGGAGCAGGUGAUACAACACAAACCCAGGACUGUUUCUGGGGGUCAGGUGCUGUCAAGGGCGGGGUCAUCUCUAGUCCAGGUUCCGGCUCACAGAAAGCAUGCCCGAGCAAGGAAAUUCUGUUGAGCUUGUUAAAUGGCCAGUGACCCUCCCAGGUCCGUCGGUGACCUCCAGGGGCUUCCAGUCUCAGGGCCUCCAUUUUCCAUCUGUGAAUUAAAGGGGUGGAGGGCGAGUGAUGCAGGCAGGGGCUGCCUGCACCCGGGAGACCCCAGCCUGGGAGGUGUGCAGGGACCUACUCCCUUAGGGACACUGGGUUAGGAGGGGAGGGGGGAGGAGAACUCCAUCUCAUUCCACACCCCCAGCUCCUAACUCCUGCUCUGUGGACCUGACUGCUCCACCAAUUGAUUAAUCGAUUGGUUAGCGGAUUGACCGAGUCCCCGCCGCGGAACCGCCUCCAGGUGGGCCUCCCAGGAAGCCCCCUUCUGCCCUCGUAGCCCCGCCGCCACCAGUCUCCGAAACCCCCUCUCAGGUGCGCUUAGCAGCGGGCAGGGGGCGUGUCCGGGGCGUGUCCGGGGGCGUGGCUCCCUCUGUGCCCCGCCCCCGGGGUCGGCGCGUUAAUCCGCCGCGGCUCAGCCAAUCAGCCGCCGGUUGCCGGGGCAACGACCUCUCCCAUCGGAGCCUUCAAAGUGUUCCCCCUCCCUCCGCGAGGGCUCCACGCGAGCCCGCGGCCUCCGACCCCGGGAGGGGCGGGCGGGGGCUGGGCUCCCUCGGCGGGAGAGACCCCCCACGGGCGGAGACCCGGAGAGAGACACAGAGACUGGCAGGGCUGGAGACGCGCGCAAGCCGGGGGAGACUUGGGUCGCGGACCCAGGUGGAGAAAAUAGAGACGCGGCCGCGAAGGCGCGCCCCCGCCCCCACCCCAGUCUCCGAGGCCGAGAGGGCGAGCCCGGGAGAGACAGUCCCAGCCAGGGACAGAGACAGCUGGAGAGAUCGUGGGAGAGACCGAGACAGCGCAGGCAGGGGGGAGGUGGAGGCCGCCCCCCGCAAAGCAGAGACCAGGGCCAGCAAGGGGGAGAGCGUCGGGAGGGGGCGAACUUGUGAAAAUAAAUAUUU